GGGGCGGCGGGGGGAGGGGCUGCAGCUUCUGGCGUUCGCAGUCCACCGGUUGUGGUCCCGGUGGCUCCGGAGGUGGAUCGUCUCGUACGUCUGGAAGGCUCCCGGCCACUGCUUUAAGCCCCAAGGAGAAUGAUUAGGUUUUUCCAGCCGAGAUGCGAUAACCAUCAUUUUAACAAAGUGACAGUAGCGAAGCAUGGGCGAUUGAGAGCAGCGAUUUGAAAGAAUAAGGCAGGGGACCAGACCAUCGCUGGAAAUUGCUAAGAUUUUUUAAAAUGUUUACUUAGACAUAAUUUGGGUAACACUUUUACUAAGGUGAAAUUCUAUUUCAGCAUCUUAAUUACAUUACAAACAGAUUUUUGCUACUAUGAUGUGAUGGACUCUUAAAAUGGUUAGGAGAAAUUUAUGGAAAUUAUAGAUUACUUCCAGUCUGUAGCAAGCUAUCUAUGUAUUGUGCACCUAGUUGCGAUAAGGUCUUUAGCUCAAUUAUGGAAAGCUAACAUUUCCUCCACCCUAUCAUAUGGCAGGGGGGAAAAACUUGUAUGGCUGUAGUUGUUAACUGAAAAAGAAUUUGUAGAAAUGCUGCUGCAGAAAUAGAUUUUUGCCACUGCUUCCCGCUAGAAUUGAGGAUUGGAGAAAUGAAGAAUUAACCAAAUUCAGAUUAUAUGUGGAGGCGUAAUCAAUUGUUAUGUAAUCUGAAUCAAUUAUGUCAGUUUGGAGAGAUGUGGCCACAAUCAUGCUUUGGUCAGCAUACGAUUUCAAACCACAGUAUGAUUUACUGUAUCAUUUGAUCACAGUGUUAACUAUUUCAUGAACUUUUUCCUUAUAAAUUGAAGGGAUUAUUUUGCAGCAUAUGUUUAUUUCUGGUUACUUCUGGCAUUCAAAUAAUUUUUAUGAUAUAGCAACUUUUAAUUAAGAAAACAGUCAAAACCAUAGCCUAGCCUUUGCAUAAAUGCCACAUUUAUUUCUUUAACUGAACAGUGCCUGAAGUGUACACAAACAGUUUAAGACCCUAAUUUCCAACACUCAUAAUUUAAGACAUCAAGAAAACUAGACUCAUUACUUCAGUAUUGUUAUUUAUACAGUGGUAAAGGGUGUUCCCACAGCAAUCACAUAUAUACUGUACAAAGCAAGAGAAAUAGUCUCCCAGCAUUUGGAGAUGGCAUCACAGGAAGAGCUCAUGUAGACAAACUAGAUAAUGGAAGCACAGGCAAAAUAAGAAAAAUUAAAAUAACUAUAACCUCUGUUAUACAGAAAGAUCUUGAUACUGAAUCUCAGCUUAUGAAUGUUAGAAAUCCUUCGUACUGUAUAUGCAAUUGAAUACACUACAGAAAAAGAGACAGUAAUAGCAUAUUAAACAGUUAAAUGUCUUGUGUUAUAGCUGCAGAUUACCAGAGGUAUGCAAUUUCCUUAUGGUAUUUGUUGUUCUUUGCUAAUUAUGUUCCUUUCAUUUCUGUUGCUUUGUAAUAAUAUUCAAGUCUGUCAUGCUGGAUUAAUCUACUGGAAGGUGAUAGAAAGAACUUCUGUAUGGGAUAAAUGUCUCCCUUAGUUUAGUGUGUGCAGCUGAAGAAACAGAAAACUAUGUCACCCAGUAAAUAAACAUCAACCUCUAGCGUG